CCUACGGGUGGCUGCAGUGGGGAAUAUUGGGCAAUGGACGCAACUCUGACCCAGCAACGCCGCGUGAAUGAAGAAGGUUUUCGGAUUGUAAACUUCUGUGCUGGGGGAUGAACAAAAUGACGGUACCUCAAGAGUAAGCCACGGCUAACUACGUGCCAGCAGCCGCGGUAAUACGUAGGUGGCAAGCGUUAUCCGGAUUUAUUGGGUGUAAAGGGUGUGUAGGCGGUAAAGUAAGUCGGCUGUGAAACUCCGGGGCUCAACCCUGGGCCUACAGUUGAAACUGUUUGACUUGAGUGCUGGAGGGGCAAUCGGAAUGCCGUGUGUAGCGGUGGAAUGCGUAGAUAUAAGGAGGAACACCAGGGGCGAAGGCGGAUUGCUGGACAGUAACUGACGCUGAGGCGCGAAAGCGUGGGGAGCAAACAGGAUUAGAUACCCUAGUAGUC
rnacentral:rRNA from 1 species